AGCUUUGCGCAGUGGCAGUAUCGUAGCCAAUGAGGUUUAUCCAAGGCGGGAUUAUUGCUAAUUGAAAACUUUUCCCAAUACCCCGCCAUGACGACUUGAAAUAUAGUCAGCAAUGGCAAUUUUUGACAGUCUCUACGGAGA
rnacentral:snRNA from 1 species